AUUGAACGCUGGCGGCAGGCCUAACACAUGCAAGUCGAGCGGAUGAAGGGAGCUUGCUCCUGGAUUCAGCGGCGGACGGGUGAGUAAUGCCUAGGAAUCUGCCUGGUAGUGGGGGAUAACGUCCGGAAACGGGCGCUAAUACCGCAUACGUCCUGAGGGAGAAAGUGGGGGAUCUUCGGACCUCACGCUAUCAGAUGAGCCUAGAUCGGAUUAGCUAGUUGGUGGGGUAAAGGCCUACCAAGGCGACGAUCCGUAACUGGUCUGAGAGGAUGAUCAGUCACACUGGAACUGAGACACGGUCCAGACUCCUACGGGAGGCAGCAGUGGGGAAUAUUGGACAAUGGGCGAAAGCCUGAUCCAGCCAUGCCGCGUGUGUGAAGAGGGUCUUCGGAUUGUAAAGCACUUUAAGUUGGGAGGAAGGGCAGUAAGUUAAUACCUUGCUGUUUUGACGUUACCAACAGAAUAAGCACCGGCUAACUUCGUG
rnacentral:rRNA from 1 species